UCUGGUUGAUCCUGCCUGAACUGAUGUGUUUAUUUCAAAGAUUAAGCCAUGCAUGUAUAAGUUUAAUCGUUUAUCGAGAAACCGCGAACGGCUCAUUACAAUGGCCAUUAUUUACUUGAUCUUGAUUGUCUAAAUGGAUAACUGUGGAAAAGCUAGAGCUAAUACAUGCACUAAAGCUUUGUCCUUACGGAAAAGCGCAUUUAUUAGAACAAAACCACGCGGCUUCGGCUGCUUCUUGUUGACUCAGAAUAACUUAGCUGACCGCAUGGCCUUGUGCCGGCGGCGUGUCUUUCAAGCGUCCACUUUAUCAACUUGACGGGAGCAUAAUCGACUCCCGUGGUGGUGACGGAUAACGGAGGAUCAGGGUUCGACUCCGGAGAAGGGGCCUGAGAAAUGGCCACUACGUCUAAGGAUGGCAGCAGGCGCGCAAAUUACCCACUCUCGGCUCGAGGAGGUAGUGACGAGAAAUAACGAGACUGUUCUCUUUGAGGCCGGUCAUCGGAAUGGGUACAAUUUAAACCCUUUAACGAGUAUCAAGCAGAGGGCAAGUCUGGUGCCAGCAGCCGCGGUAAUUCCAGCUCUGCAAAUACAUAGAAUUAUUGCUGCGGUUAGAAAGCUCAUAGUUGGAUUCGUAUCGAUACCUUGGAACCCUUCGGGUGUCUCUAUUGUUAUCGAUUUAUCGUAAUGUUCGGUUUUGAGUCCUUAACAGGAUUCUUAACAGGCAUUGCAAGUUUACUUUGAACAAAUCAGAGUGCUUCAAACAGGCGUUUUCGCUUGAAUGAUCGUGCAUGGAAUAAUAGAAAAUGAUUUCGGUUCAGUUUUAUUGGUUUUACGGACUGAGAUAAUGGUUAACAGAGACAAACGGGGGCAUUUGUAUGGUCCCGUGAGAGGUGAAAUUCUUGGACCGUGGCCAGACAAACUACAGCGAAAGCAUUUGCCAAGAAUGUUUUUAUUAAUCAAGAACGAAAGUCAGAGGUUCGAAGGCGAUCAGAUACCGCCCUAGUUCUGACCGUAAACGAUGCCAACUAGCGAUCCGCCGAUGGAAAUUAUAUUGCCUUGGUGGGGAGCUUCCCGGAAACGAAAGUCUUCCGGUUCCGGGGAAGUAUGGUUGCAAAGCUGAAACUUAAAGGAAUUGACGGAAGGGCACCACCAGGAGUGGAGCCUGCGGCUUAAUUUGACUCAACACGGGGAAACUCACCCGGCCCGGACACUGUGAGGAUUGACAGAUUGAUAGCUUUUUCAUGAUUCAGUGGAUGGUGGUGCAUGGCCGUUCUUAGUUCGUGGAGUGAUUUGUCUGGUUUAUUCCGAUAACGAGCGAGACUCUAACCUACUAAAUAGUUGGUACAUACUCUUAGUGUAUACAGCUUCUUAGAGGGAUUUGCGGCGUUCAGCCGAAAGAAAUUGAGCAAUAACAGGUCUGUGAUGCCCUUAGAUGUCCGGGGCUGCACGCGCGCUACACUGGCAAAAUCAACGUGCUUGUCCUACCCUGAAAGGGGCGGGUAAACCAUUGAAAAUUUGCCGUGAUUGGGAUCGGAAAUUGCAAUUAUUUUCCGUGAACGAGGAAUUCCAAGUAAGUGCGAGUCAUCAGCUCGCGUUGAUUACGUCCCUGCCCUUUGUACACACCGCCCGUCGCUGCCCGGGACUGAGCCAUUUCGAGAAAUUUGGGGACCGUUGAUUUAAUUUUUCUAAAUUACUUUGAUGGAAACCAAUUUAAUCGCAGUGGCUUGAACCGGGCAAAAGUCGUAACAAGGUAGCUGUAGGUGAACCUGCUGCUG
rnacentral:rRNA from 1 species